AUUGAACGCUGGCGGCAGGCCUAACACAUGCAAGUCGAGCGAGCGGCGGAAGGGUGAGUAAUGUCUGGGAAACUGCCUGAGGGAGGGGGAUAACUACUGGAAAAGGUAGCUAAUACCGCAUACCAUCAGAUGUGCCCAGAUGGGAUUAGCUAGUAGGUGGGGGAACGGCUCACCUAGGCGACGAUCCCUAGCUGGUCUGAGAGGAUGACCAGCCACCCUGGACCUGAGACACGGUCCAUACUCCUCCGGGAGGCAGCAGUGGGGAAUAUUGCACAAUGGGCGCAAGCCUGAUGCAGCCAUGCCGCGUGUGUGAAGCAGGCCUUCGGGUUGUAAAGCACUUUCAGCGGGGCGGCGUUACCCGCAGAAGAAGCACCGGCUAACUCCGUGCCAGCAGCCGCGGUAAUUC
rnacentral:rRNA from 1 species